ACAGCUCAGAUUUGAAAUCUGGCCCCCAGGGUCCAAGUUGUAAUUUGCAGAGGAUGCUUUUGGCGAGGUGCCUUCCGAGUUCCCUGGAACGGGACGCCAUAGAGGGUGAGAGCCCCGUCUGGUUGGAUACCGAGCCUCUGUAAAGCUCCUUCGACGAGUCGAGUAGUUUGGGAAUGCUGCUCUAAAUGGGAGGUAUAUGUCUUCUAAAGCUAAAUAUUGGCCAGAGACCGAUAGCGCACAAGUAGAGUGAUCGAAAGAUGAAAAGCACUUUGAAAAGAGGGUUAAAUAGUACGUGAAAUUGUUGAAAGGGAAGCGCUUGUGACCAGACUUGGGCCCGGUGAAUCAUCCAGCGUUCUCGCUGGUGCACUUUGCCGGGCUCAGGCCANCAUCAGUUUGCUUCGGGGGAUAAAGGCUUUGGGAAUGUGGCUCCUCCGGGAGUGUUAUAGCCCAUUGCAUAAUACCCUGAGGCGGACUGAGGUUCGCGCCUUCGGGCAAGGAUGCUGGCGUAAUGGUCAUCAGCGACCCGUCUUGAAACACGGACCAAGGAGUCGUCUUCGUAUGCGAGUGUUCGGGUGUAAAACCCCUACGCGUAAUGAAAGUGAACGCAUGUGAGAGCUUCGGCGCAUCAUCNACCGAUCCUGAUGUUCUCGGAUGGAUUUGAGUAAGAGCAUACGG
rnacentral:rRNA from 1 species